rnacentral:rRNA from 1 species
AUGAACGCUAGCUACAGGCUUAACACAUGCAAGUCGAGGGGCAGCAUGAACUUAGCUUGCUAAGUUUGAUGGCGACCGGCGCACGGGUGAGUAACACGUAUCCAACCUGCCGAUGACUCGGGGAUAGCCUUUCGAAAGAAAGAUUAAUACCCGAUGGCAUAGUUCUUCCGCAUGGUAGAACUAUUAAAGAAUUUCGGUCAUCGAUGGGGAUGCGUUCCAUUAGGUUGUUGGCGGGGUAACGGCCCACCAAGCCUUCGAUGGAUAGGGGUUCUGAGAGGAAGGUCCCCCACAUUGGAACUGAGACACGGUCCAAACUCCUACGGGAGGCAGCAGUGAGGAAUAUUGGUCAAUGGACGAGAGUCUGAACCAGCCAAGUAGCGUGAAGGAUGACUGCCCUAUGGGUUGUAAACUUCUUUUAUACGGGAAUAAAGUGAGGCACGUGUGCCUUUUUGUAUGUACCGUAUGAAUAAGGAUCGGCUAACUCCGUGCCAGCAGCCGCGGUAAUACGGAGGAUCCGAGCGUUAUCCGGAUUUAUUGGGUUUAAAGGGAGCGUAGGCGGACGCUUAAGUCAGUUGUGAAAGUUUGCGGCUCAACCGUAAAAUUGCAGUUGAUACUGGGUGUCUUGAGUACAGUAGAGGCAGGCGGAAUUCGUGGUGUAGCGGUGAAAUGCUUAGAUAUCACGAAGAACUCCGAUUGCGAAGGCAGCUUGCUGGACUGUAACUGACGCUGAUGCUCGAAAGUGUGGGUAUCAAACAGGAUUAGAUACCCUGGUAGUCCACACAGUAAACGAUGAAUACUCGCUGUUUGCGAUAUACAGUAAGCGGCCAAGCGAAAGCGUUAAGUAUUCCACCUGGGGAGUACGCCGGCAACGGUGAAACUCAAAGGAAUUGACGGGGGCCCGCACAAGCAGUGGAGUAUGUGGUUUAAUUCGAAGCAACGCGAAGAACCUUACCAGGCCUUGACAUCCCGGUGACGGUCCCGUAAUGGGGACUUCUCUUCGGAGCACCGGUGACAGGUGGUGCAUGGUUGUCGUCAGCUCGUGUCGUGAGAUGUUGGGUUAAGUCCCGCAACGAGCGCAACCCUUAUCGAUAGUUACCAUCAGGUUAUGCUGGGGACUCUGUCGAGACUGCCGUCGUAAGAUGUGAGGAAGGUGGGGAUGACGUCAAAUCAGCACGGCCCUUACGUCCGGGGCUACACACGUGUUACAAUGGGGGGUACAGAAGGCAGCUACACGGCGACGUGAUGCUAAUCCCGAAAGCCUCUCUCAGUUCGGAUUGGAGUCUGCAACCCGACUCCAUGAAGCUGGAUUCGCUAGUAAUCGCGCAUCAGCCACGGCGCGGUGAAUACGUUCCCGGGCCUUGUACACACCGCCCGUCAAGCCAUGAAAGCCGGGGGUACCUGAAGUGCGUAACCGCAAGGAGCGCCCUAGGGUAAAACUGGUGAUUGGGGCU